GACGAACGCUGGCGGCGUGCUUAACACAUGCAAGUCGAACGGAAAGGCCCUGCUUUUGUGGGGUGCUCGAGUGGCGAACGGGUGAGUAACACGUGAGUAACCUGCCCUUGACUUUGGGAUAACUUCAGGAAACUGGGGCUAAUACCGGAUAGGAGCUCCUGCUGCAUGGUGGGGGUUGGAAAGUUUCGGCGGUUGGGGAUGGACUCGCGGCUUAUCAGCUUGUUGGUGGGGUAGUGGCUUACCAAGGCUUUGACGGGUAGCCGGCCUGAGAGGGUGACCGGCAACAGUGGGACUGAGAUACGGCCCAGACUCCUACGGGAGGCAGCAGUGGGGAAGAUUGCACAAUGGGCGGAAGCCGGAUGCAGCAACGCCGCGUGCGGGAUGAUGGCCUUCGGGUUGUAAACCGCUUUCGCCUGUGACGAAGCGUGAGUGACGGUAAUGGGUAAAGAAGCACCGGCUAACUACGUG
rnacentral:rRNA from 1 species